rnacentral:rRNA from 1 species
UACGUAGGGGGCGAGCGUUGUCCGGAUUUAUUUGGGCGUAAAGAGCUCGUAGGCGGCGCGGUAAGUCGGGUGUGAAAUCUCGGAGCUUAACUCCGAAACUGCAUUCGAUACUGCCGUGCUUGAGGACUGGAGAGGAGACUGGAAUUUACGGUGUAGCUGGUGAAAUGCGUAGAUAAUCGUAAGGAAGACCAGUGGCGAAAGGCGGCCAUCUGGAUCAACACUGACGCUGAGGCACGAAAGCGUGGGGAGCAAACAGG